GCCUAGCUGGUUCAGUGAUAGAGCCUGUGACUCCUGAUCUCAGGAUCAUGAAUUCACAUCUCAUGUUGGGCA
rnacentral:tRNA from 1 species